GCACAAGCAGCGGAGCGUGUGGUUUAAUUCGAUGUUACACGAAGAACCUUACCAGGGUUUGACAUGCAGGUGGUAGGAAUCCGAAAGGUGACCGACCCUUCGGGGAGCCUGCACAGGUGCUGCAUGGCUGUCGUCAGCUCGUGUCGUGAGAUGUUCGGUUAAGUCCGCUAACGAGCGCAACCCUCGCCGUGUGUUACAUGUGUCACACGGGACUGCCGGUCUUAAGCCGGAGGAAGGUGGGGAUGAUGUCAAGUCAGCAUGGCCUUUAUAUCCUGGGCUACACACACGCUACAAUGGCCAACACAAUAGGUUGCUAAGCCGCGAGGUGGCGCCAAUCCAUAAAGUUGGUCUCAGUUCAGAUUGUAGGCUGCAACCCGCCUGCAUGAAGAUGGAGUUGCUAGUAACCGCAGGUCAGCUAUACUGCGGUGAAUACGUUCCCGGGGCUU
rnacentral:rRNA from 1 species